rnacentral:miRNA from 1 species
CUUAUAAUUAAGGACAGAGGGAGU